UACGUAGGGGGCAAGCGUUAUCCGGAUUUAUUGGGCGUAAAGAGCUCGUAGGCGGCCGUUCGCGUCGGAUGUGAAAGCUCAGGGCUCAACCCUGAGACGCCAUUCGAUACGGGACGGCUAGAGGUAGGUAGGGGAAAGUGGAAUUCCUGGUGUAGCGGUGAAAUGCGCAGAUAUCAGGAGGAACACCGGUUGCGAAGGCGGCUUUCUGGGCCUUACCUGACGCUGAGGAGCGAAAGCUGGGGGAGCGAACAGG
rnacentral:rRNA from 1 species